rnacentral:rRNA from 1 species
UACGAAGGGUGCAAGCGUUGUUCGGAAUCAUUGGGCGUAAAGCGCGCGCAGGCGGAUUGAUAAGUCAGGUGUGAAAUCUCGGGGCUCAACCUCGAAACUGCGCCUGAAACUAUUAGUCUAGAAUGUCGGAGGGGGUAGGGGAAUUUCACGUGUAGGGGUAAAAUCCGUAGAGAUGUGGAGGAACACCAGUGGCGAAGGCGACUCGUCUGGUCUGUAACUGGACGCUGAGGCGCGAAAGCCGUGGGGAGCAAACAGG